ACGGAAGGCAGCAGUGGGGAAUAUUGCACAAUGGGCGCAAGCCUGAUGCAGCGAUGCCGCGUGAGGGAAGAAGGUUUUCGGAUUGUAAACCUCUGUCAACAGGGACGAAAAUGACGGUACCUGUGAAGGAAGCUCCGGCUAACUACGUGCCAGCAGCCGCGGUAAUACGUAGGGAGCAAGCGUUAUCCGGAAUUACUGGGUGUAAAGGGAGUGUAGGCGGGACUGUAAGUCAGAUGUGAAAUAUACCGGCUAAACGGGUAGACGGCAUUUGAAACGGCGGUUCUUGAGUGAAGUAGAGGUAAGCGGAAUUCCGAGGGUAGCGGUGAAAUGCGUAGAUAUUAGGAGGAACAUGAGUGGAGAGGGCGGCUUACUGGGCUUUAACGGACGCUGAGGCUCGAAAGCGGGGGGAGCAAACAGGAUUAGAUACCCUGGUA
rnacentral:rRNA from 1 species